UACGGGGGGGGCAAGCGUUGUUCGGAAUUACUGGGCGUAAAGGGCUCGUAGGCGGCCAAUUAAGUCAGACGUGAAAUCCCUCGUCUUAACCGGGGAACUGCGUCUGAUACUGGAUGGCUUGAAUCCGGGAGAGGGAUGCGGAAUUCCAGGUGUAGCGGUGAAAUGCGUAGAUAUCUGGAGGAACACCGGUGGCGAAGGCGGCAUCCUGGACCGGCAUUGACGCUGAGGAGCGAAAGCCAGGGGAGCAAACGGG
rnacentral:rRNA from 1 species